UGGUUAUGUAGGAAACCGGCAAUAGCCAAGGCACUACACUUGUUUCUAUAGAUAGGCUAUAAAAAUAACUUCAAGAUGUCAGUGAUUCAAUUAUUUACUUGGCAGGAAUAAAUUCAAUCUUGUAAAGCCACCGGCCAUGUUGUCAUGAUCGCACCACACUGUAAACAUAGCAAGAAGAUUAUGUGAAGUUCAAAGCCCCAACUGACAGACUGACUUCAAAAAGUCCAACGCAAACGAACCGCUCAAGUGCCCCACCGCGGCGCUAAAAGAUUACGGACAGCUCGGUGUUUUUGUUUACCCAACCUGGUUUACCUUGUCCUGUCAACAACAACAACAAAAAAAAAUGUAUUCCCACAAAAGCCAAGUAACCCGGUGGUAAGUCUUCUUUCAAGCCUUCGCUGAUAACCUUUCCUCCUUCUCAGAGACCGUCCACGCUGCAGGACAGCUGUUGCUGACGCAUGGUGUGUCUUGAAUGAAACCCGAGAGUUCGUUCAGAAUCUUUGAGAGUGCCAGAAUCUUCCCCGGCUCCUGCUACAGAUAAAGCAGCUGAGCAGAAACGUAAUCCUGCCCACCAUCUCUCCACAUCUGAUAAUGUUGCCAUAUCGUAACAUAAUGAGCACACAUAUUCUCAGAAGGCCUGGAGCGUUCCUGCAUUGACACUUGCUCCUGAAAAGACAGACUCUCUGUGUGUGUGUGUGUGUGUGUGUGUGUGUGUGUGUGUGUGUGUGUGUGUGUGUGUGUGUGUGUGUGUGUGUGUGUGUGUGUGUGUGUGUGUGUGUGUGUGUGCGUGUGUGCGUGUGCGGGUGUGUGUGUGUGUGUGUCUGCUGACUCUCUGCCUCUCUCUGGUUGCACAAAGCUGCUGCAGGCAUCAUGUUCCGAAGAGUAACCGUCUGGCGUCGUGUUGGAUACAGACCCAUGUAUUAGAUACAGGCAGACAUGUCCACAGGAAUUGUGAAGCUGUCACACUACUAGCUGAGGGGUGGUGAUUGCAGAGAUUUAUAGAAAACAAUUUUAAAUAUUAUGCCUAUUGCUUUAAGUUAGGAACAUGACUAACAAGUCAAUCUGGUUAUGCUACAUGUGUGUUAAUCUCAUUCAAAGUUGCAUCAUUGCAAUAGGGAAACUUGUUAGAGCAGUUUACAGCACAGACAGAGCAUACUCAAAAUAGCACAACUCACUGGUGACAUUGUAAAGUGCCCUCAGAAAAUAUUCCUAUCAAAGCAGAGAGAAGAUUUUUCUCCCUAUAAAUUUCAAAGUCUCGAACUUUCAGUUGCAUCAGAUCCAAUAGCUUAGUCAUACAGAUAUUUUCUGACUCACUAUUACAGGUAAUAGAUUUAAGCCUUUACAUUUAAACCUGAUUUCCUACCUCCUGUUCAUAGCAUAUAUUUCUUUCUGGUUUAGAAAGUAAUUUAAGUCAUAUAAAAGUCAUUGUAUACAUCCCUUUCCUGCUGUCGAUCGCCCUCUAGUGGCCUCAUAGGUGGAAUGUUAUUCAUAUUUUUCAGAAUUAAUAAACUAUGUCGAACUGUUGUGUUAUAUUUCAGUCUUCUGGGAUGUAUAUAAAGUAUACUUUUGGGAUGCAAACUCAA
ensembl:lncRNA